rnacentral:rRNA from 1 species
UUGGAGGGCAAGUCUGGUGCCAGCAGCCGCGGUAAUUCCAGCUCCAAUAGCGUAUAUUAAAGUUGUUGCAGUUAAAAACGCUCGUAGUUGAAUUUCGGGGUUAGUAGGUUGGUCAUGCCUCUGGUAUGUACUGGUCUCACUGAUUCCUCCUUCCUUAUGAACCGUAAUGCCAUUAAUUUGGUGUUGCGGGGAAUUUGGACUGUUACUUUGAAAAAACUUGAGUGUUUAAAGCAAGCUAACGCUUGAAUACAUUAGCAUGGAAUAAUGAAAUAGGACG